UUGCUUGGGUGCCAUCUGAGUGCUCACUUGGGCUACAGGCUGUAGUUGCUUAGGGGAAUCUUGGAGUUGCUCUUGGAUCCCUUGAACAACAGGGUUUGGCCCAAGAGGGCAAUUUGUGCUGCUUUGUGGCAGAGGAGAACUUCCCAGGCUAUUUUGUGUUUGCUGUGGGGAAGGUUGGUUAUUGCUUUGCAUAAAGUCACAGACCAGCAUGGAGCGUUUGCUUUGUGAUGUCAGGGCAUGGUUGCCACGUCACAGUGGUGACAUGAGAAGGUUGCCUUGGUGCACGGAAGGCCUCAGUGUCAGAGCAGCCCUAGGGCUUGCUCAGAGCAGGAGCACCCUGCGCCUUGAGGCAUUUGUCAGUGGGCAGCUGCACACUGACAGGAGCCUUGUUUGUUCUAGUGCUGGAGCACAGUGUGCAAACUUGCACGGCAGUGCUACAAUGAUUCAGCAGCUUGCUGCUGCAGUGGUUACUGUUUAUGGCGUUACUUAUUCCGGCUAUUUUCUGACUCACCUGGCACGUCACAUAAAACAUGUAUUCAGCGGGGCUGAUCCUGAGGAGACAAAUGCAACAGCCAUCUCUCCCGUGGCUCCCUCUGCUCCUGGAGAAGAAGCCAAAAAGGAGCAAAGGGAGCAAGAUGACCACGAGACUCCAACCGUGGUCACAGCCCAGCCUGAUCAUCCCAAGAGAGU